rnacentral:sRNA from 1 species
GUCAUGUUCAACCCAACGCUGAUAGGAA